rnacentral:rRNA from 1 species
GACAGAGGUGCCGAGCGUUAGGCGGAAUCACUGGGCUUAAAGCGUGUGUAGGCGGAUGCCUAAGUACCUUGUGAAAUCCCACGGCUUAACCGUGGAACUGCUUGGUAUACUGGGUGUCUUGAGCCACUUAGGGGCGACCGGAACAAACGGUGGAGCGGUGAAAUGCGUAGAUAUCGUUUGGAACGCCAAUGGUGAAAACAGGUCGCUGGGAGUGUGCUGACGCUGAGACACGAAAGCCAGGGGAGCGAACGGG